AUUGAACGCUGGCGGCAGGCCUAACACAUGCAAGUCGAGCGGAUGAAGGGAGCUUGCUCCUGGAUUCAGCGGCGGACGGGUGAGUAAUGCCUAUGAAUCUGCCUGGUAGUGGGGGAUAACGUCCGGAAACGGGCGCUAAUACCGCAUACGUCCUGCGGGAGAAAGUGGGGGAUCUUCGGACCUCACGCUAUCAGAUGAGCCUAGGUCGGAUUAGCUAGUUGGUGGGGUAAAGGCCUACUAAGGCGACGAUCCGUAACUGGUCUGAGAGGAUGAUCAGUCACACUGGAACUGAGACACGGUCAAGACUACUACGGGAGGCAGCAGUGGGGAAUAUUGGACAAUGGGCGAAAGCCUGAUCCAGCCAUGCCGCGUGUGUGAAGAAGGUCUUCGGAUUGUAAAGAACUUUAAGUUGGGAGGAAGGGCAGUAAGUUAAUACCUUGCUGUUUUGACGUUACCAACAGAAUAAGCACCGGCUAACUUCGUG
rnacentral:rRNA from 1 species